ACUCCUUCCUAGCAUAUCGUCACGCCAUCGUGAUCUACGGCUUGAUAGCGCAUGCGCAUUUGCGCAAUUAAAGAAAAAAUCGGGUGUUCCGGGGUAAAGAUCCUUUAAACAACAUGAGAAGCGAAUGUUCUAAAAGUUACAAAAAAUUACAAUAACGAAAGCGAAUCCUCGAAUUUUUUGUGAACUUGGCAAAAGGAUAACAGAAUAUGUAAAUAAGUUAACUGAAAUUGCCUAAAUAACUUUCAAAGUACUGACUAAGUACAAUAAAUCACUACGAACAUAAAUCGUAUACACCCCCCGAAAAGUUUACUCUAUGAUUGACUGAUUCGUGUGAAUUCGCCAGCCAUCACAAUAGUGUGAAGUGAAACUUCACACUAAAAACGUACUAUAUAUUUGCUCUUAGAUCAAUAUACAGCAAUCCGUGUUUCUAAAAUGCGUUAAUUUCCAAACUUGCUUAUUGUCUUCGAGGCAUAUUAAUUCCUUAUAUAUAGUGUCAUUUGACUGCCGAGAAUAUUUAGAAGUGUGAAAAAGUGAACUGAUAUAACUAUGAUAAAAUUGCUUAUCAACACUGCUGUGUUCUUCAUGCAUUUACCGACCCAUCUCCAGUAGAGAGACUUCUUUGUUCCAUUGCAGUUGUCAGUGUUCCUUCGCCAACCACUUGCGUGAUAUUGAUGUACGAUUUCUAAU